rnacentral:rRNA from 1 species
UACGUAGGGGGCAAGCGUUGUCCGGAUUCAUUGGGCGUAAAGAGCGUGUAGGCGGCCAGGUAGGUCGGUUGUGAAAACUGGAGGCUCAACCUUCAGAGGUCGACUCGAAACCAUCUGGCUAGAGUCCGGGAGAGGAGAGUGGAAUUCCUGGUGUAGCGGUGAAAUGCGCAGAUAUCAGGAAGAACACCCGUGGCGAAAGCGGCUCUCUGGAACGGUACUGACGCUGAGACGCGAAAGCGUGGGGAGCGAACAGG